rnacentral:rRNA from 1 species
GCCCUCCCUCCGCCCGCCACUCANACUCCGACGGAGUCAGCAGUGGGGAAUCGUUGCGCAAUGGACGAAAGGUCUGACGCAGCAACGCCGCGUGAGGGACGAAGGGUUUUCUGAAUUGUAAACCUCUUUCGACAGGGACGAUAAUGACGGUACCUGUAGAAGAAGCAACCGGGCCAACCUAUGUGCCAGCAGCCGCGGUAAUUC